ACUAGAGGACUGAUGGUGAUGGGCGGAGUUUCAAAUGACGCUAGGAAGUAAAGGGAGCAGCAGCGAUGGAGACUGAAGCCGGAUCUUGAAACACCCUCGCGUCCAAGUCGUGCCAGAUUAAGUCGAUCGAACCAGACUUUACGCACCAAUCUGACCGCGGUGUCAGGAGACAGUACGUCAGUUUCCCACAGUUGUUUAAAAUCCAGGCAGAUGGACUGCUGACUUCCUUCAGAAAGUUGGUGUUGUACCAGUUAUGUGGAAUUUCAUCCCCAAAUAUAGUAAAGGAAAUUGGUCAAAUGGCACUCAUUUGUGGAAGUGGUUUUGUAACUAAUAACAAAUAAAAUGGCGGUUUGUCAUGG